rnacentral:rRNA from 1 species
GAUGAACGCUGGCGGCGUGCCUAAUACAUGCGAGUCGAGCGAACGGACGAGAAGCUUGCUUCUCUGAUGUUAGCGGCGGACGGGUGAGUAACACGUGGAUAACCUACCUAUAAGACUGGGAUAACUUCGGGAAACCGGAGCUAAUACCGGAUAAUAUUUUGAACCGCAUGGUUCAAAAGUGAAAGACGGUCUUGCUGUCACUUAUAGAUGGAUCCGCGCUGCAUUAGCUAGUUGGUAAGGUAACGGCUUACCAAGGCAACGAUGCAUAGCCGACCUGAGAGGGUGAUCGGCCACACUAGAACUGAGACACGGUCCAGACUCCUACGGGAGGCAGCAGUAGGGAAUCUUCCGCAAUGGGCGAAAGCCUGACGGAGCAACGCCGCGUGAGUGAUGAAGGUCUUCGGAUCGUAAAACUCUGUUAUUAGGGAAGAACAUAUGUGUAAGUAACUGUGCACAUCUUGACGGUACCUAAUCAGAAAGCCACGGCUAACUACGUG